ACAAAAAAAAGUUAGGUAUUAAACGUCCAAAUAAAAAAUAGAUGAGAUAUUUUUCGGGUUUUUUCCCUUAAAAAAAGAAAAGAAGUUUUAUACUAUUUCUUUCUCUCUUUGUUUCUUCUUCUUCCGUAAGCUUCUUCAUCUUCUUCCAACUCUCUGUCUCCUUCUUCCUCUCUUUAUGCUUCUGUACAACUAUUGAAUGUAGACCUACAGAUUCUUCUCUAAAUAUUCUUCUCUAAAUAUUGAAUUUAGACCUACAGAUUCUUCUCUGUAGGUCUUCACCACAUUUCUGUAAUGAGCAUUGUUGACAAGACACGUCGGCGAUGGUGGUAGCUUCCCGUUUGCAGGAGCUUUGCACAAGUCUCAGAUUUUCUCCACUACUAUCUAUUUGCCUUGUUCUUGUGGUAUGGUUUGUGUACUUCAUUGUGGGUUUUUUAUUUAUUAAUUUGAUUGCUUUGAACUUCGGAUGUUGUAUUAUUUGGGAUGUUGUAUGUUUUACAAUAAUAUUUUAUGUUUCGUUUAUUUGCUA
rnacentral:lncRNA from 1 species